CGUACACUCCUGCGGGAGGCAGCAGUGGGGAAUAUUGCACAAUGGGCGCAAGCCUGAUGCAGCCAUGCCGCGUGUAUGAAGAAGGCCUUCGGGUUGUAAAGUACUUUCAGCGGGGAGGAAGGCGAUAAGGUUAAUAACCUUGUUGAUUGACGUUACCCGCAGAAGAAGCACCGGCUAACUCCGUGCCAGCAGCCGCGGUAAUACGGAGGGUGCAAGCGUUAAUCGGAAUUACUGGGCGUAAAGCGCACGCAGGCGGUCUGUCAAGUCGGAUGUGAAAUCCCCGGGCUCAACCUGGGAACUGCAUUCGAAACUGGCAGGCUAGAGUCUUGUAGAGGGGGGUAGAAUUCCAGGUGUAGCGGUGAAAUGCGUAGAGAUCUGGAGGAAUACCGGUGGCGAAGGCGGCCCCCUGGACAAAGACUGACGCUCAGGUGCGAAAGCGUGGGGAGCAAACAGGAUUAGAAACCCCGGUAGUCCCAUG
rnacentral:rRNA from 1 species